rnacentral:rRNA from 1 species
UAGGGAAUAUUGGACAAUGGGUGCGAGCCUGAUCCAGCCAUGCCGCGUGCAGGAAGAAGGCGUUAUGCGUUGUAAACUGCUUUUGCCAGGGGAUAAAAUAACUGUGCGCAGUUGAUUGAAGGUACCUGGUGAAUAAGCCACGGCUAACUACGUGCCAGCAGCCGCGGUAAUACGUAGGUGGCAAGCGUUGUCCGGAUUUAUUGGGUUUAAAGGGUGCGUAGGCGGCCCUGUAAGUCAGUGGUGAAAUAUCUCAGCUUAACUGAGAGGGUGCCAUUGAUACUGCGGGGCUUGAGUACAGAUGAGGUAGGCGGAAUUGACGGUGUAGCGGUGAAAUGCAUAGAUAUCGUCAAGAACACCGAUAGCGAAGGCAGCUUACCAAGCUGUAACUGACGCUGAGGCACG